AUUGAACGCUGGCGGCAUGCUUUACACAUGCAAGUCGAACGGUAACAGGCCUUCGGGUGCUGACGAGUGGCGAACGGGUGAGUAAUGCAUCGGAACGUACCCAGAGGUGGGGGAUAACGCAGCGAAAGCUGUGCUAAUACCGCAUGUGAUCUGAGGAUGAAAGCGGGGGACCGAGCAGCAAUGUUUGGCCUCGCGCCUUUGGAGCGGCCGAUGUCGGAUUAGCUAGUUGGUGGGGUAAAGGCCUACCAAGGCGACGAUCCGUAGCUGGUCUGAGAGGAAGACCAGCCAAACUGGGACUGAGACACGGCCCAGACUCCUACGGGAGGCAGCAGUGGGGAAUUUUGGACAAUGGGCGCAAGCCUGAUCCAGCAAUGCCGCGUGCGGGAAGAAGGCCUUCGGGUUGUAAACCGCUUUUGGCAGGAACGAAACGGUGUCCGCUAAUACCGGGCGCUAAUGACGGUACCUGCAGAAUAAGCACCGGCUAACUACGUG
rnacentral:rRNA from 1 species